rnacentral:lncRNA from 1 species
AAAAAGCAAACUCGAUUACAUGAUGGACAUUCGAUUCCAUAAGGAAAUACGAAUCUUACUCAACAGGGGAAGAAAAAGACUUCGACUGAAGAGCGCAUGAGAUAUAUUAUAUAUUACCGUCAGAACGUAGAUAACAUACUCGCAUGAAAGAUUAUCCACAACCGGUUACUGGGUUAAUAAAGGAUAAAUCGACCAAAAAGAAAG